rnacentral:lncRNA from 1 species
ACUUUGCUCGUCUUUCACAACCACCAUAAUGAAUAAUUGAAUGCCAUCAUUUAAGCCUCUCCAACGGAAAGUAAAGGGACGCCCGCUUGACUUCAUCUUCCCCUAACCUCUCCAAUCCCAUACACACUACAUAGCCUCUCUGCUUUGCUCCCGGUGCGAACCAACGAGCCAUCACUGCCUGCCUCUGCCAGUAUUGUGGGUGCUCCGAUUGCAGAUUGUGUGGACACAUUCAGGCGCCAAACGUUAGAUAAACAAUAGGAAACAUGUGUGAAGAGAUGUGCAUAAAAGUUUUUGAAGCAUUGGAUGCGGGUCGGGAUGGGAUUUGCUAAACUGGACCAAGGACAUGUUUAAAAACGUAUGCAACUACUCGACGAUUAGAAGACAAGACAAUUUCAAUGCUAUUACCCCUAGGUUCUUAAUCGAAAUGUGAGUACAUAAUGUUCUAAUCGUUGUUUAUGAAGGGGAACAACAUGGUUUUCGUAAGGCCGAAAACAUUAUAUUCACACUUGAACAACAAAUGGUGUUUUUCGCACGUUUAGUGGGGCACUUUAAGGUUGCAGACAAAAUCGUUCCCAUCAAGAUUGAUAAUUUCAACUAAGAAGCUGUGGGGAGUUGGGGCCAUUGGCUGGGGUGGGGGAUGCCAUUCAACGCCAGCUGCUCCACCCCGGGUUGGCGUUGGCAUGGCGUUGCCCCUUUGGCGUAGGUAUUCAGCCUGGCAUGGGGCGGAAUAUGAAUGAAGUUCUUACACGACUUAAAUCUGGGCCUGAAGGAACCUGUCGUUAAUGUCUAGGCCCCGUCACAAAUUGAUUAGAGCUCUAUUGAGCUGAUAUUCGCGAUCCCCACGAAUUUAUAAACAUCAGUUUCAGUUGUAUAAAAUAGUCUACUUCAAUGUAUAAGAAUGCAUAUAAUCAUAUUAAUGCCAAACAUACAUUUUUUUAAUUAUGCCUGGUUUAUUUAUUUGUUGAGUAUCAAAAUUCAAACAUACAAUUUCAUACAUAAUUUUAUUUUUAUUGUCUGCUUGAUUCCAAUGUAUAGCUUUAGCUAUAUUGAACCAAUAUCUCGUGGUCUUAGAAAUAUGUUAUGAAAAUUUUGGAAAUAUUCCGCAACAAUUCAGUCAAAGGUUGAGCGAGGUCAUUAGAUGCUUAUGAUAUUUUGAUCUUUCCUUUAAAAAUAGUGUCACCUGCGUCACUAUCAGGUGGCGGUACCUCGAUCGUAGCAACCUUUAUCAUUAUUUAUCUAUUUUGAAUGGUAAGAAGCUCCCCUUGGAAACCGAUCGCCAGGCUUUCCUUAUGGUUUUUGUCGUUUUAAGGUUUGAAUUAUAUUCUCGCCCCUUAUUAUCGACUCCGCCGCAACGCGCGGGUUCCCCACUAGUAUAUAAUAAUAUAUAACAAAAACCCAUAAACAAUCUGAUCAUCUCUUCUCUCUCUAUCCCCCAUCUCUUCUCUCUCUACACUCUCUCUCUCUUCUCCAUCACCGACAACCGCCACCACCAACCGUCACCACCACCGUGCACGGCCCCCACCCGACCACCACCCAUGGGCGGACCCACCUUAUGGGGUGGGUGGACGGCCGCAUC